CGUUGGUGGGAUCAGUAUUCCACAAGCUUUGGAUGUGGAGGUCUUAUCCUCAUUCGCUCUCUCCCUUGCUUGGCACGAAAGCGAGGGGACAGCCCGAGCACAAGAGGAUAAAACCGAAUCAACCUGAGAUCAGCUAAGCCUCCCGUCGUUUGCCUGCGUUCAAGCUACUUCUCAAGGUUCCCAUUGUCUCCCAUGGUGGCUUCUCCAUCGAAGCUUCUCUGAGGGUUGAUAAAUGCAUGGUGAAGUGGAGGCGAAGGCACAAAGCAAGGCGUUCGGGAAUGGAGGCUUCUUUCUUGCCACAAGGCAGGCGUGGGGGCAUGGAUGAGGAGGAAGACCUCGAGUCCAUGUCUUCGUCCUUGUGUGGUGAAGAGGGUGAAUCUGAUGAGGAAUCGAGGGAGGAUGCGACGUCCUCGAGUUCAUCUUUCUCCUUCUCUCCGCCGUCAUGCACGCCGUCGUCGGAUGAUCAAGUCGAAGAGGGGCCUCUCUUCGAGAUGUCUUCCCUCAUUUCAUUGCUUCCUGUCAAGAGAGGGCUGUCAAAGCAUUUUGAAGGGAAGUCACAGUCCUUCACAUCUCUUGAUAAAGUGAGGUGCAUGGGAGAUCUUGCCAAGCCUGGGAGGCCAUCCAAGAGAAGACUCGGCUCUUGUAAGAGCUAUGGAGGAGGAUUGAACAGCAGCCACAAAGCAGCACUGUCUCCUAUGUCUUCCUCAAGAAUCAUCACAAAGAAGGCUUCUUCACUCCAAAGUGCAAGGAGGCACAGAGAUCGAGAAGCCUCUCAGGACAGACAUUUUUGUUUGCUCAGCGGUUUGAAGAACAAUGGACUUGAAUAGCCACAAACACAUGUCAGAUCGAUGGUGGUGGAAUGCUUGUAGUCUUUGAUGUAUUUUGCCAAAGACUACACAGCAAUAAUAAUAAUAAUAAUAAUAAUAAUAAAGAAGUUUAUGGAUAUAUCAUUGUCAGAUAAUCUCAUGUUGUAAUAUGAUUGCAUGUACUCGAAUCCACUUGCCAUUUCUUGA